AGAGUUUGAUCCUGGCUCAGGAUGAACGCUAGCGGCAGGCCUAACACAUGCAAGUCGAGGGAGGAGCUUUCGGGCUUCGACCGGCGUACGGGUGCGUAACGCGUAUACAAUCUGCCUUUCACAUAGGGAUAGCCCGAAGAAAUUUGGAUUAAUACCUAAUAGUAUAUAGAUGUGGCAUCACAUUUAUAUUAAAGCUGAGGCGGUGAAAGAUGAGUAUGCGUUCUAUUAGCUAGUUGGAGAGGUAACGGCUCCCCAAGGCUACGAUAGAUAGGGGUUCUGAGAGGGAUAUCCCCCACACUGGUACUGAGAUACGGACCAGACUCCUACGGGAGGCAGCAGUGAGGAAUAUUGGACAAUGGUCGGAAGACUGAUCCAGCCAUGCCGCGUGCAGGAAGACGGCCUUAUGGGUUGUAAACUGCUUUUGCAGGGGAAGAAUAAGGAGUACGUGUACUUUGAUGACGGUACUCUGCGAAUAAGCAUCGGCUAACUCCGUGCCAGCAGCCGCGGUAAUACGGAGGAUGCGAGCGUUAUCCGGAAUCAUUGGGUUUAAAGGGUCCGUAGGCGGGCUAAUAAGUCAGAGGUGAAAGCGCUCAGCUCAACUGAGCAACUGCCUUUGAAACUGUUAGUCUUGAAUGGUUGUGAAGUAGUUGGAAUGUGUAGUGUAGCGGUGAAAUGCUUAGAUAUUACACAGAACACCGAUAGCGAAGGCAUAUUACUAACAAUUAAUUGACGCUGAUGGACGAAAGCGUGGGGAGCGAACAGGAUUAGAUACCCUGGUAGUCCACGCUGUAAACGAUGGAUACUAGCUGUUUGGUUGUAAGACUGAGUGGCUAAGCGAAAGUGAUAAGUAUCCCACCUGGGGAGUACGCACGCAAGUGUGAAACUCAAAGGAAUUGACGGGGGCCCGCACAAGCGGUGGA
rnacentral:rRNA from 1 species